GACCUCUUCAACGACCUCUUCUCCUGCGUGUUCCUCAUAGGCGGCGUGGUGUUCGCUACGAAAGCCAGACGAGUGAUGCCAAAGCCCUACUUAAUAGCCACGGUCCUUAUGGGAGUGGCCGCCAUUUUUGUUUUUAUCGACCUAAUUCUUCAAAGGCAACACCUCAAAGGAACGAGGAUCCGAAAGGACGCUCUGGCAGACACUGGCCUCGAAAAGCUGCUGGAGACAGAAAAGAAAUGAUGGACAACGACACCUGUGGCAGGAAUGGCAGCAAGUUUUGUGGCCAGCCCUUCCUACAUGCUCCCCUGUUGGCUUCCUAGCCUACUUUUCUUUCCAUCAAUAAACACCUCUUGGAAAGUAAA